UACGUAGGGUGCAAGCGUUAUCCGGAAUUAUUGGGCGUAAAGAGCUCGUAGGCGGUUUGUCACGUCUGCUGUGAAAACUGGAGGCUCAACCUCCAGCCUGCAGUGGGUACGGGCAGACUAGAGUGCGGUAGGGGAGAUUGGAAUUCCUGGUGUAGCGGUGAAAUGCGCAGAUAUCAGGAAGAACACCAGCGGCGAAGGCGGCACUCUGGGCCGGAACUGACGCUGAGGAGCGAAAGCGUGGGUAGCAAACAGG
rnacentral:rRNA from 1 species